rnacentral:rRNA from 1 species
CAGAGGGUGCAAACGUUGUUCGGAAUUACUGGGCGUAAAGCGAGUGUAGGCGGUUUCCUAAGUCAGGUGUGAAAGCCCCGGGCUCAACCCGGGAAGUGCACUUGAAACUGGGAGGCUAGAGUAUCGGAGAGGUUGGUGGAAUUCUCGGUGUAGAGGUGAAAUUCGUAGAUAUCGAGAGGAACACCGGUGGCGAAGGCGGCCAACUGGACGAAUACUGACGCUGAGACUCGAAAGCGUGGGGAGCAAACAGGAUUAGAUACCCUGGUAGUCCACGCCGUAAACGAUGGGUGCUAGGUGUCGCGGGCUUUGACUCCCGCGGUGCCGUAGCUAACGCAUCAAGCACCCCGCCUGGGAAGUACGGCCGCAAGGCUA